CAGAAAAUAGUUUAAUUAGAACGGUAGCUUUGGGGGUUACUGGUGUAAGUGUAGUUUUUACUUUUCUGA
rnacentral:tRNA from 1 species